rnacentral:rRNA from 1 species
UACAGAGGUCCCAAGCGUUGUUCGGAUUCAUUGGGCGUAAAGAGCGUGUAGGCGGCCACACAGGUCUGCUGUGAAAACUCGAGGCUCAACCUCGAGCUGUCGGUGGAAACCGUGUGGCUAGAGUCCGGAAGAGGAGAGUGGAAUUCCCGGUGUAGCGGUGAAAUGCGCAGAUAUCGGGAAGAACACCCGUGGCGAAGGCGGCUCUCUGGGACGGUACUGACGCUGAGACGCGAAAGCGUGGGGAGCGAACAGG